UGAAAUUAAUAAAUUUUUCGUAAUAUUUUCUUUGAUUUGCGACAAUCGCCAUAAUAUUCGCAGUUCGGUAGCGAAUGUCAACAUGUCCAGAUCAUUUUCCGUAGAAAACCCCGAGAGGGUUGUUUUGUAAAAUCUACAAACUGUGAACAUUAUCGAAGCAUUGUAGAAGCCCAGGGACAGUUAUGACAAAUUAAAUCAUAGUUGUUUAUGCCCGGGAAAUUCCGAUCAGCCAAAAGGGAAGCUUGAACUUGAAGGUCACAAACAUGUGCAAGAUUGCAGAUCCACGUUGCCUCGUCUGAUGUCAUGUCGUGUGCAGUGAGCAUGAGAAAAACAACCCUACUUUACCCUAGACUAGAAAAAAGACUGGAGGUCAGAAUGCAGGAUGAUUGAGCAAGGAGUGCUGGCAGAUGGACUAUUGAGGUCAACAAAAAAUUUGGACUUUCACCAGGUGGACACAUGUUCAGCAAGAAAUUCUCACAUCAAAUGAAUGAUGGCUGUCUGUGGAAAAGAGAUUUUCUCAGAAUAUAUCAUGUCAGAAGCAGGAAUUACAUUAUUUAUCUGAUCAAAGAAAUGUUUUUGUAGAAAUGUGGAAGUCAAUGCAUGUUAUCAAAGUCACUGCUGCUUGUUGCAUGAUUCCAUUCUUGAUUUUUUUUUUUAGAAACUUUCAUUCAAAAAUAGUUUUAUUUAUAAUUAUAUAAUGUUUAAUUAUUUGAUUCCCAAGUACCCGAUACAGUGCAUGCUUUGUAGAAUGUGAUUACUUUACAAAAUCUUUGAUUCAGAUUUGAAAUCUUACUCUCAGAGCGAAUUUUUCAAGCAUUAUCUUUCAUUAGAUUACAAUGUGAAGAUUUACAUGUACUGGCAUUACAACAACUUGUAAAUGAUAUAUACCUAGCUCUAUGUAUUCAGUUGCUUUACAUUUUCAAAUACAGUUAAAAUCUUAAAAUACAGUUCUGGAAUACCAAAAAAUGUGCCUGCUUUAGAUCAUUUAGUUAAAGGGUGAUUUUAAGCAAGAGCAUGCCGAACAAAAUUGGUGGUAGUGGCCGGGUUAAAAUUUAGAUUUUUACAAAUGAACUAAUAUACAUGUACUUGCAGUAGAAACCCUCAAGAGGUAAUUUUUAAUUCAAUUUCAAUACAAGUUAUUGACACUGAUCAAUAAAUGUUUGUGCUACAAAUUCUCAAAAAGAAAUUUCAUCCUUGAAUAAGUAUUUUGCAUCUAAAUGUGAAAUUAAGUUUGAUAGCUGCAUGCAUAUUAUUGUUACAAAGUUCAAGGAUGUCAUAUUCAGGCAAAGAUGUCAAAGGGCAUUUGAUUGUCAUAGAUGGCUUUUUUGUUAUCUUAAAACUCCAGCAAAUUUUACGCAAUAUAUGAUCACAUUGAGGAGUUAUAUUUAUUGGUGCUGAACAAACUAUAUACUUAUAAAUGUGUGUAGGUAUUUAUUGUCCCUCGCUUUCGCGAAAGAGAGGGGACAUUAAAUCUCAUUCUUUGUCGGUCUGUCUGUCACAAAAACUUUAACCUUGGCCAUAACUUUUGAGUGAGAAGAGAUUGGGCUUUUGUAUUUCACAUGUAUAUUACCUGUAACAAGACCUUUCCAAAUAUUCUGUGAAUUUUGAUCCCGUGGCCUUGAAGUCUGACCUACUUUUCAAAAAAAUUAACAUUACCUUAAAUUUGUCAUUACUUUUGAAUGAGAAAAGAUAGGACUUUCAUAUUAUGCCUGUUCAUUACCUAUGACAAGACUUUUGAAAUUAUACUAUGACUUUUGACCCCGUGACCUUGAUCUUGAAGUUUGACCUACUUUUCAAAAAAUUAACAUUUCUUUAAAUUGGUCAUUAAAUUUAAAUGAGAAAA